rnacentral:rRNA from 1 species
UACAGAGGUGGCAAGCGUUGUUCGGAAUUACUGGGCGUAAAGGGCGCGUAGGCGGCCUUCUAAGUCGGACGUGAAAGCCCCAGGCUUAACCUGGGAACUGCGUCCGAUACUGGGAGGCUUGGAUUCGGGAGAGGGAUGUGGAAUUCCAGGGGUAGCGGUGAAAUGGGUAGAUAUCUGGAGGAACACCGGUGGCGAAGGCGGCAUCCUGGACCGACAUCGACGCUGAGGCGCGAAAGCUAGGGGAGCAAACGGG